rnacentral:snoRNA from 10 species
GUGCAGGAUAAGUUACAGUACAGCUCGCGUGGUGCUGUUCUGUCGUUCCCCCUGCAGAAAGCCAAUUGUUACCUUCGCUAUCCCUGCUGGUCUGCAUCAGUCGGCCAGAAGGGACGCUUGGUCGCAGACAA